GACGAACGCUGGCGGCGUGCUUAACACAUGCAAGUCGAACGGAAAGGCCCUGCUUUUGUGGGGUGCUCGAGUGGCGAACGGGUGAGUAACACGUGAGUAACCUGCCCUUGACUUUGGGAUAACUUCAGGAAACUGGGGCUAAUACCGGAUAGGAGCUCCUGCUGCAUGGUGGGGGUUGGAAAUUUUCGGCGGUUGGGGAUGGACUCGCGGCUUAUCAGCUUGUUGGUGGGGUAGUGGCUUACCAAGGCUUUGACGGGUAGCCGGCCUGAGAGGGUGACCGGCCACAUUGGGACUGAGAUACGGCCCAGACUCGUACGGGAGGCAGCAGUGGGGAAUAUUGCACAAUGGGCGGAAGCCUGAUGCAGAAACGCCGCGUGCGGGAUGACGGCCUUCGGGUUGUAAACCGCUUUCGCCUGUGACGAAGCGUGAGUGACGGUAAUGGGUAAAGAAGCACCGGCUAACUACGUG
rnacentral:rRNA from 1 species